AAAUCGGGUCUACUAUGCUGUGCUAAAAUUUGACGAUGAUCCAGCGGUUAGAUUGUCCUCAAUUAAGUUUCUCCUUGAUAUGGGUCAUGUUUCCUCAUCGGUGUUGAGUUGAUAUCAUGAAGUUUUCAUCUCCUUGAGUUUAUACUAUUGAUUCGGCAAUUGGAUUUAGGCAAGUUGUGGGCUACUAACAAUGAAGGACGAGGCUGCUAUCGAUGAAGGAGUAGUAUUGGAGUAUUAUGUACGUUGCUAUCAAGCCGUUGCUAAAUAAUUGAGUAAUCAUUGGACCUUAUCGGUAGUGGAUCCGCACCGAAAGAAGGUUUACUGGUUGGAUCCGUUAAAGAGGCGACUAUCAACUACUAGUGAAUGGCAAGAUGUUGUUGACAAGUAAGUUUUGUGGACUAUAAAAAUCCCUUUUAAUUUUUUGUGAAAUGAUGUUGUGGACAAUAUAUAUACAUGAAAUCCAUGAGUUCUUUAGUCUAAAAUGAUGAGUGUCCGAGUUGUUAGCUUUUGGUUAUGAAUGAGAUACUACAGAAUGAAUAUAUAUGUGCCUAAGCUGUCAGCUCUGCGUUAUAUGUAUGAGAUAUUUCUGGCCAAUUCACUACGUUUUCACCUUAUGCUGUUAAACCUGAUCAGAGAAACCACUACCACCUUUCAAGUAUUUUUUCAGCCAAUUCUCCUCUCUUGUAAACUCUUUUCUCCAAAACAGAUAUUCACCCUCGCUAUGCUUUCUGCUGUUUUUAACUUUGUAUUGAAGUGGUUGGUAAGGCUAAUGAGAAAGUGAAAACAAUAUCAAAACUGCAAAAUGAGAGAUGUAAAGGGAUGAGGGGAGCCGAUAAAAGUUUAGAAGUAAUGGUAUUCAACUAUACAUUUUUUCCAUUUUGCUGCAUGGUGUAAUCUUUUGAUAAUAAAAAUAAAUGGUUGGACUUUGUUUCCGAUCGGGCAAGAAAUGACGUCCCUCUUUGAUAUUCUAAUGCAAUAUCCUAUGAUAAUGUUAGUUAUGUUUAAGGAAAUUAUGUUUCCGUCCUUCUGUUAUGUGUCUUGCCCUAAUACACGUAGGAUUGACUAAUCCGGUUUCCUUAUUAGAAUAGAUUUCAGUUGCUAGAAUGUCUAGAUUCUUCGGGAGACUCUAUGUAAUGCCUAUAAAUAGGCAUUUAUAUCAAUGAAUGAGUAGACCUUUAUUCUCGUUAUCUUUUCUCCUUCAACACGUUAUCAGCACUGUGCUCUAACUCGAGCUUGAUAACGAAAACCCUAGAAACCU